rnacentral:rRNA from 1 species
AUGGCGCUAUCAGCUCCUCCCAGUCAGGAACAGCCGUCGGGGAAGCAAUUCGGCUACCAGCUCGCUGCUGCUGUGAGGAGCAUCAACUGGACGUAUGCCAUAUUUUGGUCAGAAGUUCUGGCGUGGAAGGAUGGGUUCUACAACGGCGAGAUAAAGACAAGAAAGAUUGCCGGCUCGACCACUACGGAGCUUAGAGCAACUCUAGCAGACCCCGCAAAAUUUGCUCUUACAGCGGACGAGCGCGUCAUGCACAGAAGCAAGCAACUGAGGGAGCUCCACGAAUCGCUCUUGCCCGGCAACUCCAACAAUCGGGCAAGGCGACCUGCCGCCUCACUGUCACCGGAGGAUCUCGGGGACGGCGAGUGGUAUUACACCAUAAGCAUGACUUACACCUUUCACCCUAAUCAAGGGUUGCCAGGCAAAAGCUUUGCGAGCAAUCAACAUGUUUGGCUGUACAACGCUCAGAACGCAAACACCAGAGUUUUCCCCCGCGCGCUCUUAGCAAAGACAAUCGUUUGCAUUCCCUUAAUGGGCGGUGUGCUGGAGCUCGGAACGUCGGAUCAGGUUUUGGAGGACCCCGGCAUGGUGAAGCGGAUCAGCACGUCUUUCUGGGAGCUGCACUUGCCAUCAUCCUUGGAGUCGAAGGAUGCGAGCUCCAGCACAUCAGCAAACGAUACCAGGGAGGCCACCGACAUCAUCUUGUUCGAGGACUUUGACCACAACGACACAGUUGAGGGGGUCACCUCUGAGCAAAGGGAGGUCCAGUGCCUGUCCAACGUCAAUCUGGAGCGCCUCACAAAGCAGAUGGACGAGUUCCACAUCCUUCUCGGUGGACUGGACGUGCAUCCUCUCGAAGACAGAUGGAUCAUGGACGAGCCCUUUGAGUUUACGUUUUCCCCGGAACUGGCGUCGGCUAUGGAUAUGCCGAGCACCGACGAUGUCAUCGUCACUUUAAGUAGGUCUGAAGGCUCUCGUCCAUCCUGCUUCACGGCGUGGAAGGGAUCAUCCGAGUUGAAAUACGUGCCUGGCCAGGUCGUUGGGGAGUCACAGAAGUUGCUGACUAAAGUUGUGGCUGGUGGUGCAUGGGCGAGCAAUUAUGGCGGUCGCACCACGGUGAGAGCUCAGGAAAUUAACAACAACACCCAUGUCAUGACAGAGAGAAGACGCCGGGAGAAACUCAACGAGAUGUUCCUGGUUCUCAAGUCACUAGUCCCGUCCGUUCACAAGGUGGACAAAGCAUCCAUCCUCACAGAAACGAUAGGUUAUCUUAGAGAACUGAAGCAAAGGGUAGAUCAGCUAGAAUCCAGCCGGUCACCGUCUCACCCAAAAGAAACCACAGGACCGAGCAAAAGCCAUGUCGCCGGCGCUAGGAAGAAGAUAGUCUCGGCCGGAUCCAAGAGGAAGGCGCCAGGGUUGGAGAGCCCGAGCAAUGUCGCGAACGUGACGAUGCUGGACAAGGUGGUGCUAUUGGAGGUGCAGUGCCCGUGGAAGGAGCUGCUGAUGACACAAGUGUUUGACGCCAUCAAGAGCCUCUGUCUGGACGUUGUCUCCGUGCAGGCUUCCACAUCGGGUGGCCGUCUUGACCUCAAGAUACGAGCUAAUCAGCAGCUUGCGGCCGGUUCUGCUAUCGUGGCACCUGGGGCAAUCACUGAAGCGCUUCAGAAAGCUAUAUAG